UCCCUGGUGGUCCAGUGGCUAAGACUCUGCACUCCCAACGCAGCGGGGUAGGUUUGAUCCCUGGUCAGGGAA
rnacentral:tRNA from 1 species